rnacentral:rRNA from 1 species
GGCCUUCGGGUUGUAAACCUCUUUCAGUAGGGGAGAAGCCUUUCGGGGUGACGGUACCUGCGGAAGAAGCGCCGGCUAACUACGUGCCAGCAGCCGCGGUAAUACGUAGGGCGCAAGCGUUGUCCGGAAUUAUUGGGCGUAAAGAGCUCGUAGGCGGUUUGUCGCGUCUGCUGUGAAAACGCGGGGCUUAACCCCGCGCCUGCAGUGGGUACGGGCAGACUAGAGUGCGGUAGGGGAGACUGGAAUUCCUGGUGUAGCGGUGGAAUGCGCAGAUAUCAGGAGGAACACCGAUGGCGAAGGCAGGUCUCUGGGCCGUUACUGACGCUGAGGAGCGAAAGCAUGGGGAGCGAACAGGAUUAGAUACCCUGGUAGUCCAUGCCGUAAACGUUGGGCACUAGGUGUGGGACCCAUUCCACGGGUUCUGUGCCGCAGCUAACGCAUUAAGUGCCCCGCCUGGGGAGUACGGCCGCAAGGCUAAAACUCAAAGGAAUUGACGGGGGCCCGCACAAGCGGCGGAGCAUGCGGAUUAAUUCGAUGCAACGCGAAGAACCUUACCAAGGCUUGACAUACACCGGAAACAUCCAGAGAUGGGUGCCCCGCAAGGUCGGUGUACAGGUGGUGCAUGGUUGUCGUCAGCUCGUGUCGUGAGAUGUUGGGUUAAGUCCCGCAACGAGCGCAACCCUUGUCCUGUGUUGCCAGC